rnacentral:rRNA from 2 species
UUAAAUUGAAGAGUUUGAUCAUGGCUCAGAUUGAACGCUGGCGGCAGGCCUAACACAUGCAAGUCGAACGGUAACAGGAAACAGCUUGCUGUUUCGCUGACGAGUGGCGGACGGGUGAGUAAUGUCUGGGAAACUGCCUGAUGGAGGGGGAUAACUACUGGAAACGGUAGCUAAUACCGCAUAACGUCGCAAGACCAAAGAGGGGGACCUUCGGGCCUCUUGCCAUCGGAUGUGCCCAGAUGGGAUUAGCUAGUAGGUGGGGUAACGGCUCACCUAGGCGACGAUCCCUAGCUG